rnacentral:rRNA from 1 species
GUGCGAAGGUAGCAUAAUCACUUGUUCUUUAAAUGAGGACUCGUAUCAACGGCACUACGAGGGCUAUACUGUCUCCUUUUUCUAAUCAGUGAAACUGAUCUCCCCGUGAAGAAGCGGGGAUCAAAAUAUAAGACGAGAAGACCCCAUGGAGCUUUAAACUCAUCACGCACCUCUGUGCCCCCAUACCCUUAAACACAAGAGAUCUGCGUGCUAGUUUUAGGUUGGGGGGACCACGGAGUAUAACUUAACCUCCAUAACAAAUGGGCUAACACCCUUAUCCAUGAGACACAGCUCUAAGAAUUACUAAACUAAUGCUUAUGACCCGAUAUUCGAUCAAUGAACCAAGUUACCCUGGGGAUAACAGCGCAAUCUACUUCAAGAGCCCAUAUCGACAAGUAGGUUUACGACCUCGAUGUUGGAUCAGGGUAU